rnacentral:rRNA from 1 species
UACGUAGGGUGCGAGCGUUGUCCGGAAUUACUGGGCGUAAAGAGCUCGUAGGCGGUUUGUCGCGUCGUCCGUGAAAACUUGGGGCUCAACCCCAAGCUUGCGGGCGAUACGGGCAGACUUGAGUACUGCAGGGGAGACUGGAAUUCCUGGUGUAGCGGUGAAAUGCGCAGAUAUCAGGAAGAACACCAAUGGCGAAGGCAGCUCUCUGGGACGGUACUGACGCUGAGACGCGAAAGCGUGGGGAGCGAACAGG